AAGCGCGCGUAGGUGGUUUGUUAAGUUGGAUGUGAAAUCCCCGGGCUCAACCUGGGAACUGCAUCCAAAACUGGCAAGCUAGAGUAUGGUAGAGGGUGGUGGAAUUUCCUGUGUAGCGGUGAAAUGCGUAGAUAUAGGAAGGAACACCAGUGGCGAAGGCGACCACCUGGACUGAUACUGACACUGAGGUGCGAAAGCGUGGGGAGCAAACAGGAUUAGAUACCCGGAGU
rnacentral:rRNA from 1 species